CUGGCUGCAACUGUUUAAUAAAAACACAGCACUGUGCAAACACGAAAGUGGACGUAUACGGUGUGACGCCUGCCCGGUGCUGGAAGGUUAAUUGAUGGGGUCAGCCGCAAGGCGAAGCUCUUGAUCGAAGCCCCAGUAAACGGCGGCCGUAACUAUAACGGUCCUAAGGUAGCGAAAUUCCUUGUCGGGUAAGUUCCGACCUGCACGAAUGGCGUAAUGAUGGCCAGGCUGUCUCCACCCGAGACUCAGUGAAAUUGAACUCGCUGUGAAGAUGCAGUGUACCCGCGGCAAGACGGAAAGACCCCGUGAACCUUUACUAUAGCUUGACACUGAACAUUGAGCCUUGAUGUGUAGGAUAGGUGGGAGGCAUUGAAGUGUGGACGCCAGUCUGCAUGGAGCCAACCUUGAAAUACCACCCUUUAAUGUUU
rnacentral:rRNA from 1 species